rnacentral:rRNA from 1 species
UACGUAGGGGGCAAGCGUUGUCCGGAAUUACUGGGCGUAAAGGGCUCGUAGGUGGCCAACUAAGUCAGACGUGAAAUCCCUCGGCUUAACCGGGGAACUGCGUCUGAUACUGGAUGGCUUGAGAUUGGGAGAGGGAUGCGGAAUUCCAGGUGUAGCGGUGAAAUGCGUAGAUAUCUGGAGGAACACCGGUGGCGAAGGCGGCAUCCUGGACCAACACUGACGCUGAGGAGCGAAAGCCAGGGGAGCAAACGGG